GAAUCUAUUGUUUUGAUGGGAUACUCAUUCUACGAAACUAGUUUCAAUGAUCCAACCGUCAAACAUAUUUUUAUAUAUUUCGAGAUCACAUACGCCAAAAAUUGCAAAAAACAAACAUUAAGAGAGCAAGUAAAGGGACAAAAUGUUUCGACGGUUAUAAACGAAAAAUCACGAUUUAACGGUUAAUUUAACUCCGAUUUUGAUGAUUUUUUACAACUACACUCCUUGACCUUAUAUGAAUACAAUGAUUGAAUUCGAUCUUCAAUUUAAAAUAUUUACACUAGUGGAUACCACAAAAUCUUAUGUUAUACUUAAUAAAAGUAUGAAUAAACUAUUAAGUAUUAGUAAAUCUAUUGUUUUGAUGGGAUACUCAUUCUACGAAACUAGUUUCAAAGAUCCAACCGUCAAACAUGUUUGUAUAUACUUCGAGAUCGCAUACGUCAAAAAUUACAAAAAACAAACAUUCAGAGAUCAAUUAACGGGACAAAACUUUUCGACGGUUAUAAAAAGAAAAAUCACGAUUUAACGGUCAUUUUAACUCUGAUUUUGAUGAUUUUUUGCAGCUACACUCCUUGACCUUAUAUGAAUACAAUGAUUGAAUUUGAUCUUCAAUUUUAAAUAUUUACACUAGUGGAAACCACAAAAUCUUAUAUUAUACUUAAUAAAAGUAUGAAUAAACUAUUACGUAU
rnacentral:lncRNA from 1 species